rnacentral:rRNA from 1 species
UAAUACGUAGGUGGCAAGCGUUGUCCGGAAUUAUUGGGCGUAAAGCGCGCGCAGGCGGUCCUUUAAGUCUGAUGUGAAAUCACGUGGCUCAACCACGUGCGGUCAUUGGAAACUGGAGGACUUGAGUGCAGAAGAGGAAAGUGGAAUUCCAAGUGUAGCGGUGAAAUGCGUAGAGAUUUGGAGGAACACCAGUGGCGAAGGCGACUUUCUGGUCUGUAACUGACGCUGAGGCGCGAAAGCGUGGGGAGCAAACAGG